AUUGAACGCUGGCGGCAGGCCUAACACAUGCAAGUCGAGCGGCAGCGGGAAGUAGCUUGCUACUUUGCCGGCGAGCGGCGGACGGGUGAGUAGUGCCUGGGGAUCUGCCCAAUCGAGGGGGAUAACUACUGGAAACGGUAGCUAAUACCGCAUACGCCCUACGGGGGAAAGCAGGGGACCUUUUGGCCUUGCGCGAUUGGAUGAACCCAGGUGGGAUUAGCUUGUUGGUGAGGUAACGGCUCACCAAGGCGACGAUCUCUAGCUGGUCUGAGAGGAUGAUCAGCCACACUGGAACUGAGACACGGUCCAGACUCCUACGGGAGGCAGCAGUGGGGAAUAUUGCACAAUGGGGGAAACCCUGAUGCAGCCAUGCCGCGUGUGUGAAGAAGGCCUUCGGGUUGUAAAGCACUUUCAGCGAGGAGGAAGGGGAGUGAGUUAAUACCUCACUUCAUUGACGUUACUCGCAGAAGAAGCACCGGCUAACUCCGUGCCAGCCGCCGCAGUAACAC
rnacentral:rRNA from 1 species